AAAUUUCAAAAGAAACAAAAACCCUAUUCCGUUGCUCUUUCUGAUUUCAAUAAUUUUCAAGGCUCGAUGCAUGCCAAAAUGUAUGCCAAUCGAUUGUUCUUAGUAGUAUCUAUCUUUGGCCCAUUUUGAAGCAUGAUGGAUUCCAAUAGAUUCUCCACUGAUUGGCCAAACAUUCGUCGCUAUCAUCGGCCAAAUCAGUAUAUUCUUCUCUUCAUUCUUUUGGUUUAAAAUGAUCAGUUACGUUUUAGUUUUAGUUUUUGUUUUGGAUUGUUCAAUAGAGUUUGUUUAAGACAGGAGAUUUAGGAUUAACUUUGUAAUUAUUUUGUUAAUUGUACCGGUUUAACAUUUUUGUUUAUUCAAUAAAUUGUUUUGUUGAAUCAGACAGUUGGAAAUAUUGGUUAAGGGAAUGUUUGGGGUUAGAAAUUUUCAGUUUGAGAUUAAUGUUUGAACUUGUGUGUUCUUGUGGUAGCUGUUUGUAAUUAAUAAAAGCUAGUGGGGUGAUAGAAUUUGAAAAUGGUGUACACUAGGCAUUAAAAUCAGGGUUUAGGUUAUUGAAGUAUUUGUUUGUAUUAAACAGAACUAAAAGGGUUUAAUUCGAAGGUAGGAAUGGAUAAACCCUAGGUAAAAUAUCAAAACAUUCUAGAUUUUGCACAGCUGUCCCAUCCUUAGCUUAAAAGAAAGCAUUCACUCAUACACGCACACGAACCAAUCAGCAUAAAAGGGUUCUAAAAAGAAAACACAAGAAUCAAAUUGGAAAAAUCAUUAAAAAAAAAAAAAGCACAAAAAGACUUAGCUAUUAUCUCAUUGAUGGCUGGUUCUAUCUUCCUUUGAUUUUUAGAAAAAACUUAGAAAAAUCUUCCCUGAAAUUUCUGGUUUAUCCAUUUGAAGCUGCUACUGCUAUUGUUUAGCUGUCAUUUCUCAUUCAUUCCUUACUUAAGUCUUUACUUUCAUCGUUCUUUGCUGUACUCAGGUAUUCUCACGAGCCUUGAAGUGACAAAAAAUGGAAUUGUAUCAUUUUGUUUUGAAAUAUAACUUCAGAUUCUUCUUUUUCUUUCUCUGUUGUUUGUUUUCUGUUGUUUUUCUUUUUAUUGGACUCAAUUUCCUUUCUCAAGUUAUGAUUUUUGUUGAUUUAAUGGGCUAUGAAUGUGUAUUUGGAUUUUAAUUUGGGUGGAUAAUGAAAUGGCUUGAGAAAGAUGACAUGGUAACAUAAGUCCAUGAACUUUGAUGGUAAAGAGAUAUCAGGAUUUUAAUUUCUGAGGCAUGGUUUCAUGUUUUUAU
rnacentral:lncRNA from 1 species